UUCUUAAAAUAAGUUCACGACCAAAUGAUAUGCUAUUAUUAGAAUGAUAGCAUUUAUCGAGUGUAGGUCGUUGUGUGUCAUAUGCGUUGGUUGUUCUCAUAAUCAAGUAGUGUGGAGACUGGUAUGGCAUAUAAGUGAGAUGUAGGAGUACAUCUUAUUGAAUGUGACCAAAUACUGGGCACUACUGUCAAGAGUAGCUCACGAAGGAUAUGGGUAUAAGUAUCCCUCCGAUCUGAAAUCAUCAUGGUGACUUGCAAGCAACUCACUGUGCUUUGGUGCCGGACUAUCUGAAUUUUUAAUUCAGUGACGGAAGGUUUUUGGGUACA
rnacentral:lncRNA from 1 species